rnacentral:rRNA from 1 species
GACGAACGCUGGCGGCGUGCUUAACACAUGCAAGUCGAGCGGUAAGGCCCUUCGGGUACACGAGCGGCGAACGGGUGAGUAACACGUGGGUGACCUGCCUUUAGCUCUGGGAUAAGCCUGGGAAACUGGGUCUAAUACCGGAUAUGACCUCAUGACGCAUGUUGUGGGGUGGAAAGCCUUGUGCGGCUAGAGAUGGGCCCGCGGCCUAUCAGCUUGUUGGUGGGGUGAGGGCCUACCAAGGCGACGACGGGUAGCCGGCCUGAGAGGCGACCGGCCACACUGGGACUGAGACACGGCCCAGACUCCUACGGGAGGCAGCAGUGGGGAAUCUUGCGC